CAGUCGCCACGGUAAUACGUAGGGUGCAAGCGUUAAUCGGAAUUACUGGGCGUAAAGCGUGCGCAGGCGGUUAUAUAAGUCAGAUGUGAAAUCCCCGGGCUCAACCUGGGAACUGCAUUUGAGACUGUAUGGCUAGAGUGUGUCAGAGGGGGGUAGAAUUCCACGUGUAGCAGUGAAGUGCGUAGAUAUGUGGAGGAAUACCGAUGGCGAAGGCAGCCCCCUGGGAUAACACUGACGCUCAUGCACGAAAGCGUGGGGAGCAAACAGGAUUAGAUACCCCCGUAGUCCCUGUCUCUUAUAA
rnacentral:rRNA from 1 species